rnacentral:rRNA from 1 species
UGUAGGGAAAGGUUAGGUUAAAUAAAUCACAAUGCGGAACAAUGUUUUGCAAUUGGAUUGAGAACAACGUACAAACCUUAUCGAUAAACAAUUGGAGGGCAAGUCUGGUGCCAGCAGCCGCGGUAAUUCCAGCUCCAAUAGCGUAUAUUAACGUUGUUGCAGUUAAAAAGCUCGUAGUUGAAAUGAAGGGUAGUUGUGUAAUGAAUACAUUCGUGUAUUUUGUUAUUCUACUACCCUCCUUCUAAAUUCGAUAUAUGAGUAUUAAUUUACUUGUAUAUGGUUUUAGACUUUUACUGUGAGAAAAUUAGAGUGUUCAAAGCAGGCAUUUGCUUGAAUAUAUUAGCAUGGAAUAAUCAUGUAUGAUUUUCAUGAUGUAUUUGAUUGGUUUGGUUCAUGAGAAUAAGAUUAAAAGGGACAGUUGGGGGUAUUCAUAUCAAUAGUCAGUAGGGAGCUGUCCGUU